GGGGCUGCUGCCCUCAACCUGGGGCAGGGGGGCAGGCAGGCAGGAGGUGUUUUUUGGGCAGAACGAGGUGAACUGGUGGCAAGCACAGCAUCAUGGCUCAGGAGCUGUGCAGAGAGGGAAAGGAGGAGGAGGGAAAGCACGCAGAGGCUGUGGAGCUGAGAACAGCUAUUAGUCACCGCAGAGGAGAAAAUGGCAGGAGCAGGUGGAACAGCAGGGCAGCCAGAAUCUGCUCCAGCACGCGGGGAGCAGGCAAUGGGACCUGGGUCUGCCUGUGGGGCCGAUGGCCUUGUCCCCUCCUGGUGUUUCACUGUGGCCCUGGGGGCACUUCCCCAGCCAGCCCCCUGCCUCGUGGGCUGUGACAGCCCAUGCAGGACAUGGGAUAAAGCAGCGGACCCGUUUUCUCCACAUUUCGCUAAAAGCUGUUUGCUUUUUUUUGCUUAAAUGACUACAGUGUUUGCUCUAGGGGUUCUGAAGCACCCAGCCAAAUUUCCUGUGUUGACGAGGAGCAAACAGUCCGGCAGAACGGGAGUUCCCUGCAACAAGCGAUGUUUGCAGAGAAAAUCCAGAGGCGUUCAGUGUGCUCCGAGCUGUUGCUUCAUUGAGAGCGAGCACUGACAGUGCUUGUUCUGUGUCAUGAUAAACCCCACCUAAGAGAGCUAUAGCAUCCUGGGAUGACUGGAGGAGGGAAUGCAAACUGAUAGGCAAGCUGCUGCUAAAAGGCAUGUGACACCGGUUUCAGCAUGAGACCAGCUGUCUUUAAUUUAAAUCACAACAGGUUGAGUAGAGGAGUCCAUCAAGGAGGAACGAGCUAUUCCUAUGGCGACCAGGCUGCAGGAAUCGCUGCGGUUUGCGGGGCGAUGCAGACAGAACUGAAGCCCGGGGAGCAUCCCCUCCUGACAAACAGGCUCCUGGUGCUGCUGACUCAUCAAGUGGUCAAGCGAGUACAGAAACAGCAGCCCGACGUCAGUGAUGAGCUGGAGGAGGAUGAGGCAGGAGCUGGAGGAGGAGCAGUGGGUGAGACGAAGGCUGACCCAGAGUUUUUUUCUGAAGUUGAAGGCGCAGGAGCUGGAGUGCUCUCAGUCCCCGGGGACAGAUCAAAUAGCAGCCGAAGCAGCUGAUUCCCCCCAGGGCGCCAGGAAUGAUGCUCGUGGGGCGCAUCUCUUGUCUGCAGCAAACAUGUUGGUGCCAGGGACGCUGCUUUCUAGAGCUGCUCCCGGGCUAAGGAGGCAGGGGCUGCGCUUCGCUUCUAUCCAGCAAGCUGUCACUCAGCCAGAAAUCAGCAUUUAAGAUCUCACCUUCCCUCUGUGCCCUCGCAGUGUCUGACAGCCGCUCUGCAUGGUGGUUUGUCUGCGGGGCGUACGGCAGCAUCCAUUCUGUGCUUGUACCGCGUGUUGGCUUCGAACCGAUGCCCGUUGCCUGACUCUGACUUGAACAAUUCCAGCGCAGUAUUUUUCCAGGGGGUAGAAUUUUUCAUUUUCCCCUGUCCAGCAAACUGUAAGAGCCACCAGCCAAAUUACCGCUUUCUCUUGUGUAACUGCUCUUUAAUUUUGCCGGCUGGACCCAGGUGGCUCAGAGGAUCAGCGCGGGAAUGCGAGAGCGGUGCAGAGCUCAGGCUUCAGCGCCGGGGGCAGGGACAGAGGCUGGCAGGGAAGGAGUUAAGGGCAGCCUUGGCUGGAGGACCAGCAGAGCUGAGCUGCAGCAGGUGUUUGCCAGGGGAAUCAGGGCCUUCCCUGGCUAUGAAAGGGCUGGUGCUGGGGCGCCGUGGGCUUUAGUGGUGGUGGCUGAGGUUUGCAAGCUAGAAGGAAGAUGGGGAAAGAGAGGGAAAUGUUAUUUUUAGCCCUGUUUCUUACAGUGGUGUUUGAGGACAGAGCUGCAGGCAGUGGCUGUUGCGCGGGGUCUCUGUGGCAGACCUGCGUCGUGUUCUCAAGAGCGGGCGAUGGAGAGGGGCAGCGCGCCCGGGGACGAGCGCCGCGUGUGGAUGAGGCUCCGGGGGCUCGCUGGGUUCAGGCUCUUUUCAAGAUUUCCACCUCGCACUUGUGCUGUAGGAAGCUCUUCUCUGCUCUUGAAGCAGCUGCUUGAGCCUUUCUGCUACUGUCUUUCCCCAGCUAUGCUCAGUAC
rnacentral:lncRNA from 1 species